rnacentral:rRNA from 1 species
GGCUAACGCGGGGGCAGCAGCGUGGGUAAUGCGGAGGGUGCAAGGGUUGUUCGGAAUUAGUGGGCGUAAAGCGCGUGUAGGCGGCUUGUUAUGUCGGGUGUGAAAGCCCUCAGCUUAACUGAGGAAGUGCGCCCGAAACUGGCAAGCUGGAGUGCCGGAGAGGAUAGCGGAACACCCGGUGUAGAGGUGAAAUUCGUAGAUAUCGGGUAGAACACCAGUGGCGAAGGCGGCUAUCUGGACGGACACUGACGCUGAGACGCGAAAGCGUGGGGAGCAAACAGGAUUAGAUACCCUAGUAUC